rnacentral:lncRNA from 1 species
CCAACCUCUUCCCCUUUGCCAGCCGCUCACCCAAUGGUCGUAGCCCCUAAGCCAUCUCUGAAAACCCUAGGCACCAACAGUCGUUCUUCCCUCUUCGAACCCACGACCAUGUCCGCCACCGCGACGACCCCUCUUCCAGCGAGGGCAGAAGUCUGAACGGCGGCGGACUAAACGGCGCCGGAUGCCACCGUCGGUCAACGGAGGGAAUAUAAUGAGAUGGGGAAGAGAA